rnacentral:rRNA from 1 species
CCUACGGGACGCAGCAGUGAGGAAUAUUGGUCAAUGGACGAGAGUCUGAACCAGCCAAGUAGCGUGAAGGAUGACUGCCCUAUGGGUUGUAAACUUCUUUUAUAUGGGAAUAAAAUGUUCCACGUGUGGGAUUUUGUAUGUACCAUAUGAAUAAGGAUCGGCUAACUCCGUGCCAGCAGCCGCGGUAAUACGGAGGAUCCGAGCGUUAUCCGGAUUUAUUGGGUUUAAAGGGUGCGUAGGCGGAAUGCCAAGUCAGCGGUAAAAUCGCGGGGCUCAACCUCGCUCCGCCGUUGAAACUGGCGUUC